rnacentral:rRNA from 1 species
AUUGAACGCUGGCGGCAGGCCUAACACAUGCAAGUCGAGCGAGCGGCGGACGGGUGAGUAAUGUAUGGGGACUGCCCGAUAGAGGGGGCUAACUACUGGAAAAGGUGGAUAAUACCGCAUACUAUCGGAUAACCCAUAUGGGAUUAGCUAGUAGGUGGGGUAAAGGCGCACCUAGGCGACGAUCUCUAGCUGGUCUGCGAGGAUGAUCGGCCAAACUGGGACUGAGAAACGGCCCAGAAUCCUACGGAGGCAGCAUGGGGGAAUUUUUCACAAUGGGCGAAAGCCUGAUGCAGCCAUGCCGCGUGUAUGAAGAAGGCCUUAGGGUUGUAAAGUACUUUCAUCGGGGAGGCGGUACCCGCAGAAGAAGCAACGGCUAACUCCGUGCCAGCCGCCGCGGUAAUUC